UACGAAGGGGGCUAGCGUUGUUCGGAAUUCCUGGGCGUAAAGGGCGCGUCGGCGGUACUUCAAGUCAGGCGUGAAAGCCCCGGGCUCAACCUGGGAACCGCGCUUGAGACUGGAGAACUAGAGUUCGGGAGAGGAUGGUGGAAUUCCCAGUGUAGAGGUGAAAUUCGUAGAUAUUGGGAAGAACACCGAUGGCGAAGGCAGCCAUCUGGACCGACACUGACGCUGAGGCGCGAAAGCGUGGGGAGCAAACAGG
rnacentral:rRNA from 1 species